rnacentral:pre_miRNA from 15 species
AAACACCUAUUGUAGAUCCGGACUUACCAAUUAAUAAAGAAGGAUAAGUCCGGUUCUACAAUAGGUGUUUU